rnacentral:rRNA from 1 species
UGGGGAGCUUUAAAUGCAAGUCGAACGGCAGCGCGAGAGAGCUUGCUCUCUUGGCGGCGAGUGGCGGACGGGUGAGUAAUGUAUCGGAACGUGCCCAGUAGCGGGGGAUAACUACUCGAAAGAGUAGCUAAUACCGCAUACGCCCUACGGGGGAAAGGGGGGGAUCGCAAGACCUCUCACUAUUGGAGCGGCCGAUAUCGGAUUAGCUAGUUGGUGGGGUAAAGGCCUACCAAGGCGACGAUCCGUAGCUGGUUUGAGAGGACGACCAGCCACACUGGGACUGAGACACGGCCCAGACUCCUACGGGAGGCAGCAGUGGGGAAUUUUGGACAAUGGGGGAAACCCUGAUCCAGCCAUCCCGCGUGUAUGAUGAAGGCCUUCGGGUUGUAAAGUACUUUUGGCAGAGAAGAAAAGGCGCCCUCUAAUACAGGGCGCUGCUGACGGUAUCUGCAGAAUAAGCACCGGCUAACUACGUGCCAGCAGCCGCGGUAAUACGUAGGGUGCAAGCGUUAAUCGGAAUUACUGGGCGUAAAGCGUGUGUAGGCGGUUCGGAAAGAAAG